CUCAGAUGUUCUAAUUGCUUGGGUAAUUGGGUUUCUUUAUAUUUUAUGACUUUGACAAGAUUUGAUUCAGCCACUGAGAAAGAAAAUCUUCCAACACUUCCUUCCAGCACUGAACUGCUUCUGAUUUUAGUAUCUUGACACAUAUUUCCCUUUUGUAAUGAAAUUCUUUGAAGAUGGUAACAUAACAACAGCUAAACCAGAGCAUAAUGCUUAGCUUACUCUUUAAGGGUCUGUAUGGGAACUGUUGAAUCAUGGCCUGAACCUCUGAUUGACCACCUGAGGCAAGUACUGAGUCAGCCGUGGGAGCACAGGUGAAGGCAAUUCAGCUGUGUGACAGGAAGGGGUGGAGCCUGGCUGCACCUCUCCUAGACCCCAUUUAAGGGCUGACUGCCACUGAGGAGAGUUCUCUCUCUGGAGAUUGCUUGUUGUGGAGUUUUGUGCGCCUACAACACUGGAUCCACCACAACUGACUGGGCCCAGUGCUACUGGGAUCAUCUCCAAUUUCAUAUCUACAAGCAACCAUUCAAGGCAUGAUGAGUGCUGCUAGAUGUUUCAUGGUAAUGAAAGACUGGAGUUAAUUCUUAUCUUCUGGCUUUCCUUGCACUUGUGUUUGGCACAAGGGAGAGUGUGGUAUGUGAAUAUCAUAAGUCACAUUUCAUAUGAAAACUUGAUGAAUCCUGAUUUAUGGAGAGGGCUACACACACAGAAAGCACCUCUCUGCUCUCAGACCUUGUGCCUUGUGGGUACAGUAUGGAAGAGCAGUCUCCUUUGCUCCAUGCACUGCCUUUAUUGUUCUCUCCUAGAAAUAUUAAGUGUUAUAUUGAAUAUACAGUUUCCCUAUUGGAGCCUUAACAAACAGAGAUCUACCAAAAGAUUUUAAAAUAUGUAGUCAUCCUUUUGAUGAGAAUCAUAGAAUCAUUAAGGUUAGAAAAGACGACUGUAGUUGUCUAGUCCAACCAUAGUUUCACUCUGUAAUGUCAAGAUAUUUCCUGGAAUAAUUUCUGCAGGCCCAGUAUUCAUUUCUGCCUAUCCCUUUUUCUUCAUGGUGAUUCACAUGGUGUUAUGAGUAAACUCAACUCUUGGCUGUAAUGCUGCUCUACCAAACACCUCUCCUCUAUAUGUUGCUUUAGAUUUAAUUGGUUUUAACUCAGAAGGUUUCACUAUAUAAUUACUACUAGCUUGUCUAUGGUAAGCAUACUAGAAGCAGUUUCUUCUGGUGUAUUAUU
ensembl:lncRNA